UACACUUUCCAGCCUCCCAUGCAGCUGGAUGGAGCCAUACAACCAAGUUUCGGCCAAAGGAAAGAACGUGGCUCAGAUGGAUGUGCCAGAGGAAAUGCACCAGGAAAUCCCGAGCAGGGUGCAAUCAGUCACCAUUAAUGCUCACAAGUAUCAAAGCUACUUGAAGAAAUACAGCUACUUAUGGAUGGAUGAUAAAAUUGAAUUCACGAAGCAGUUCCUUCUCCAUGAGUGAUUUCUUAGUGCUGAAAAACUAGAAUUGCAUGUGGACUAUGAGUGUCAGAACUCCACACUGCAGUUAGCACACUUUACAGAACACGUAUUGAAUUUUAGCUGAGUCUAGCAUCAUCUUUUUCAACUCCCAGGACAGCUGUUAAAUCAUAAAAUAUUUUGAGAUAUAAAGCUCUUGCCUCUGAGA
rnacentral:lncRNA from 1 species